UACGGAGGGAGCAAGCGUUAUUCGGAAUCACUGGGCGUAAAGGACGCGUAGGCGGGUUUGUAAGUCAGGUGUGAAAUCCUACAGCUCAACUGUAGAACUGCACUUGAAACUACAGACCUAGAGUAUGGAAGGGGCAGAUGGAAUUAGUGGUGUAGGGGUAAAAUCCGUAGAUAUCACUAGGAAUACCGAAAGCGAAGGCGAUCUGCUGGGACAUUACUGACGCUGAGGCGUGAAAGCGUGGGGAGCAAACAGGAGUAGAUACCCUAGUAGUCC
rnacentral:rRNA from 1 species